rnacentral:rRNA from 1 species
UACGAAGGGGGCUAGCGUUGUUCGGAUUUACUGGGCGUAAAGCGCACGUAGGCGGAUCUUUAAGUCAGAGGUGAAAUCCCAAGGCUCAACCUUGGAACUGCCUUUGAUACUGGGGAUCUUGAGUCCGGGAGAGGUGAGUGGAACUGCGAGUGUAGAGGUGAAAUUCGUAGAUAUUCGCAAGAACACCAGUGGCGAAGGCGGCUCACUGGCCCGGUACUGACGCUGAGGUGCGAAAGCGU